GGCCAACUAUUCCAAAUACACUGCCAAUAACAAUUACUUGUUUGAUAGCUGAAAAACAGAGACCAACCACAAAAAAAAACAUGAAUACAUUUUUUGUAUUCAUGGUUUGAUAUACAUUUUUGAUAUACAUUUUUUCAUAUCUGUUUGAAUGCAGUCACAUGACAAUUUUUGAAAUUGUGCAUAUAGUGUUAAUUUUGCUGUUCUCUUUACUUGUGGAGCUGCCUCCCUUUGACAGUGGGAUUGGCCUGAAUGAUGUCCAGAGGUCCCUUCCAACCUUUCACCCUUUCAGAUUCUCUGAAACAGGAUUGAGGAGGAAAACCACUGCUCCACAAAAAAGUGAAAGAGGACAUAGAAACCAUGGACACUGAAGCCAUGUGUUAAAACACCAAAAGAUGCUGAAAAGAGAGUUGAAAUGCAUGCACCUAGAGGCACUUUUAACUGUCCAUGGGCUCCAUCCGAAUGGAAUUGCUGACAAGGCUGAUAUGUGUAACUAACCUUUCAAGUCCAUCCAAGUUUGUUCAGAGAAGUUGAGAGCCCUCUGGUUCAGGAGGACCUCCAGAUGCAAAUCCUCAGAGUAGCGCACUUCAAUCACAUCAGAGUUGUUCUCCUGCAUGGCCACUGCAGACAAGCCUGUCCCCUGAGCCCCAGUUCCUUCCAAGUGAAAAAAACCAACAAUGCUAUCAAAAUGCAUCAGCUGGCAGCUGUGCCUAUUGAUUUCUAGAACUGGCCUUAUGUUUCCUUAUUGAUGAGAAUGGGCAUGGAGAGAAAUCAGAACUUUUUUGGAGUUCUUAAACACAGUUGGAAAUUUUACACUUCCAUUACUCACACCCAAUAAAACUAGCAAUUAAACUUUGAUUGGGAAGUUUUUCCUGAAGAUGUUGUCUGCUUUCUGAUUAUCUUCAGAAUGGUGACUGUUCACAAAUGGCCAAAAAAGAAAACUAGAAACAACAGAGAUGACAGGAGGAUUGCUGCUAAGUGCAAAUCAAGCAAAUAUCAAAUCUCAGUUCUGCAAAUCUCAGAAGUUCAGAAGCUCUGCUUCCUCUCUUACCAACUUACCAUUGGAAAAGUGUGCCUGCUGUGUCCUCCCUUGCACUCUCAGGGAUGUGAGAUCAGACUCUACCAAUGUGUAUUCUCCCAGGCCAUUGAAGGUGAAGUUCAGACCGUCAAAUGUAAAGAAAUGAGGAUCCCCAAAAGCAGAUGCUAUUUUUAAAAGCAAAAAGAGAAUUAAGAACAAGCAAAAAUCACAACCUGUUACUCCUCAAGUUCAUGAGAAAGGACAGAGGCUAGAAUUCUGUGUCAUAUGCAAUAUAUGGGGAGAUUUGGACAUGAAUACAGGGCUAUUGCCUUAUCUUUGCAUCCAUAUCCUUUGCAUCCUUAUCCCCUUUUGCAUUUCCAACUUCCAUGUAAAUUGCUCCAAGCUGCUUCUAAUUUAUCUUCUUUUGUAUGCUUUAAUCUGUAUAGUAACUAAUACAAUGCACCUUGCCAUCAA